rnacentral:rRNA from 1 species
UACAGAGGUCCCAAGCGUUGUUCGGAUUCACUGGGCGUAAAGGGUGCGUAGGUGGUGAGGUAAGUCGGAUGUGAAAUCUCCAAGCUCAACUUGGAAACUGCAUUGGAAACUACCUUGCUAGAGGAUUUGAGGGGGGAUUGGAAUACUUGGUGUAGCAGUGAAAUGCGUAGAUAUCUGGAGGAAUACCGGUGGCGAAGGCGGCAUCCUGGACCAUUACUGACGCUGAGGCGCGAAAGCUAGGGGAGCAAACGGG